rnacentral:lncRNA from 1 species
UUACUCAAAGGUCUUACCCUGAUUAUCCCGGAGACCUAGAAUAAUUGUGCUAUAAAUUCUCAAUCAUGACGCCGGGCGCAGUGGCUCACCCUAAUGAUUUAUUUUUGUAGUGGUGUGCUUUGAUUUCGUCUUCUUUAUCUUUUAUUUACUACAGACUUUUCUUGUGUGUGGUUACCAUAAGGCUUACAUAAAACAUCUUAUAACAGUCUAUUUGGAUCUAAUAACAACUUAACUUCAACCACAUACAAAACUCUACACUUUUAACUUCUCCUCCUCUCACAUUUUAUGUACUGGUGUCACAAUUUGCAUGUUUUAUAUAAUGUGUAUCCACUAACAAAUUAUUGUUGCCAUAUUUAUUUUUAACACUCACGACUUUUAACUUUUUACUAGAGUUAUUUAUGUACUAUCAUUACCAUCAUUAGUAUUAGAGUAUUCUGAAUUUGACUGUAUUCUUACCUUUACAGUUUUAUACUUCUAUGUUUUUAUAUUAUGUCAUUUUUAAAAAUUUUUCACAGCUUCAGCUUCUAGAAAGUUAGUGUCAUUUUGUUUCAACUUGAACUCCCUUUACAGUUUUUGUAAGGUAUGUCUAGUGGUGAUGAACUCCCACAGCUUUUGUUUGUCUGAGAAAGUCUUUAUCGCUCCUUCAUUUCUGAAGGAAAGAUUUACCAGGGGUAGCAUUCUUGGUUUUCAGGUUUUUUUUUUUCUUUCAGCACUUUAAAUAUGUCAUUCCACUCUCUCAAGAUCUGCAAGGUUUCUGCUGAGAAAUUCACUGACCAUCUCAUAUGGGUUCCAUUGCAUGUGACGUGUCUUUCCUCGCUGCUUUCAAAAUAAUCUUUGUCUUUGGCUUUUGAGAAUUUGAUUAUAAUGUGUCUUGGGGUAGAUCUCUUUAUAUUUAAUAUAUUUGGGGUUCUUCGAGCUUCAUGAAUCUGGACAUUCAUUUCCCUCUCCAGAUUUGGGAAGUUUUCUGCUACUAUUUCUUAAAAUAAGCUUUCUCCCCUUUUCUUUUUCUACUCCUUCCAGAAAACUUACACACAAAUAUUGUUUUACAUGAUGGUGUUCUCUAAGUCCCAUAGGCUUUCUUCACUCUUUAUCAUUCUUUUUCCUCUGCUCUAAUUUCAAAUGACCUGUUUUCAGUCUCACUGGUUCUUUCUUCUGACUGAUCAAAUCUGUUGUUAAAUCUAUCUAUGGAAUUUUUCAGUUCAAGCAUUGUGUUCUUCAGCUCCAGAAUUUUUAAAUGCCUUCUCUUUGUUGAACUCAUUUCCUUAUGUAUUGUUUUCCUGAUAAUUGUUUAGUUGUCUAGCUGUGUUCUCUGGGAGCUUACUAAGUUUCUUGAAGACAAUUAUUUUCAAUUCUUUGUCAGGCAGUUUUAUUUGUAAUCCUUGUGGUGUUGUGUUGGUGUUUGUCUAUUUGGAGAAGUAGGAACCUCUUAACCAGGCACAGAAGUCCCAGCUACUCAGGAGGCUAAGGCAGGAGGAUCACCUGAGCCCAGGAGUUUGGGGCAGCAGUGUGCUAUGAUUGUGCCUAUGAAUAUCCACUAUACUCCAGCCUGGCAACAUAGUAAGACUCUGUCUCUAAAAAAUAAAAUAUAAUUUUUAAAAAGAAGCAGGCAGCUUUUCCCAUCUUUACAGACUGGCUUUGGCAGGGAAAGUCCUUUACCAGUCAGACCAUCCAGAGAUUCUUGGUGAGCCAUUUAGUGGGGUCUGCUUGCAAGCUUGCUGUUGGAAUCCUCAGGCAGGCUGGUCUGGUGGCUAGGUCCACUUGGCUGAGUCUGGCUCAUGGGUCCAGUGGGGCAGGCGUUGAACCCGAAUCUAGGUGGUUAGGCUUGGAUCUUGGGUUCACAGAGGCCAGCCUAGUGCUGGACUCCACUGGGUUGGGCCUAGAGAUUGGGCCUGCAUGGGUAGGCAUGCAUAGGUAGGCUGAAACCUGUGUCUACAGGGGCCAGCCUAAAGCCCGAGUCCAUGAGGGAAAACCUGUUGCUAGGGGAGGCCUGGUGCCUGGGUCCAUGGAGAUGGGCCUGGUCCUGAGUUUACAGGAGCUGACCUAGCACCAGGGUUCAGUGGGGUGCCCUGGCACCUGGGUCCAUGGUAGUGGGCCUGGAGGCUGAGUCCAUGCGGGCAGGCUUUGGUCUUGGGUUGAUGGGGUCCAGUCUGGAGCUUGGGUCUUUGAGGGCUGGACUAGUAUCAAAUUCUACUGGGGUGGGCCUGGAACCUAGAUAUUCUGGAGCAUAGGGCCACAGGGGGCAGUCUGGAGCCUGGGACCAUGGGAGCUGGCUUGGUGCUAGGAUGGGACUAGAGCCUGAGUCUGCAGGGGGUGGGUUGGUGCAGUGGUAGGGCAUUUUCACCCACUAAUAUUUUAACAAGAAUUAACACAUUACAUCAUCAACAUAGGUUAUUUAGCAAGAGCCUAGGGCAAUAGGACAGAAGACUUGGCAGGUUUGUUGGACAAAGUAUAACAUGGUCAUCAAAAAUAAGGACUCUGGAAAGAAAUGAGACACCAAAGCGAAUAUACUAUAUAAUUCCACUUCUAGGAAGUUCAAAAAUAAACAAAGUUAAUCCAUAGUGAGAGAUAGCAGAAUGUUGUUUACCUUUGGAGGCCUGGAGCUUGUGUCCAAGGGGCUGGCCUAGAACCUAAGGCUGCAAGGUCAAGCCUGUCUCUCGGUUGGGCCUGGAGCCUGUGACCACAUGAGCUGGUCUGGAGACUGGGACAGUUGGCCUGGAGACUCCUGGUGCUGGGGUGGUCCUAGAGUCUGGGCUUACUGGGGUAGGCCUGCUGCCAGGGUCUGAAGUGAAGGUGAGAGCUCACUUCACACUGCUUUUCCCACAUGAAGGGUAUUUAUCUGCAUGAUGUGUUGCCCAGGCUUGUGAAAACAGUGACAUGGUGUCUUUAGUCUGUUUUGUGCUGCUAUAACAAAAUAUCUGAGAGACUGGAUAAUUUAUAAAUAGCAAAUUUAUUUUCUCAUCAUUCUGGAGGCUAAGAAGUCCAAAAUCAAGGCCCUGAUAGGUUUGGUUGUUUGGUGAGGGAUGCUCUCUGCUUUCAAGAUGGCAUCUUAUUGUUGCAUCUUCUGGAGGGGAGUAAUACUAGGUCUUCACAUGGCAAAAGGUGGAAAGGCAAUGAGGUGAACACUACACAAAGCCCCUUUUAUAAAGGCCUUAAUCAUGAGAGAAGGAGAGCUCAUGACCUCUUAAAGGCCCCAUCUCUUAAUACCAUCAUAUUGGUCAUUAAGUUUCAGCACAUGAAGUUUGGAGAGGACACAUUCAAACCAUAGCACACAGGUAAUGUAAAACUGUCUUUCCUGUCGUCAUGAAUACAUGUUUUCUUAUUUCCAUGCUACAUCCAGGUGCUAUAAUCCCUCACUUGAAUUUCUUAGUUCUUGUAAAGGUAUUUUUUUAGUGUGGAUAGAUGUUUAAAUUUAUGUUUCUGUGAGAUGAGUACUAGGAACUUCUGUUCCACUAUUUUGCUGAUGUCAUUCUUCAACAAGUUCCUUGUUCUAAUCUCUGAACAUAAUUGUUUUGUUUGUCAAACAUUGUCUGACUUAAUUUACCAGUAGAUGGCAGUCCAAAGUAAAGCGGAACAUAUUAUUACUACCCAUCCUCCUACCCAGCGUGCCUCCCCACCCCACGCCAAUUUUUUUAAAUUGGCUAUAAAUUAGUAAGUGGUUAUCAGCAGGGCACGGUGGCUCACGCCUGUAAUCCCAGCACUUAGGGAGGCCGAGGCAGGCAGAUCAUCUGAGGUCGGGAGUUCGAGACCAGCCUGACCAACAUGGAGAAAUCCCAUAUCUACUAAAAAUACAAAAUUAGCCGGGCAUGGUGGCGCAUGCUUGUAAUCCCAGCUACUCAGGAAGGCUGAGGCAGGAGAAUCACUUGAACCCGGGAGGGGGAGGUUGCAGUAAGCCAAGAUUGCGCCACUGUACUACAGCCUGGGCAACAAGAGCGAAACUCGGUCUCAAAAUAAUAAUAAUAAUAAUAAUUGGUUAUCAGUAUGAAGUCUUUCACAUUUUUCUAAUAAAUUCUUCACACUCUUACCUGACAAUUAAAUAAUUCUUGUUACAGGAGAAUCCCUAGGCAAAUUCACGUGUGACAUGCAAGAAACUCUAAGGAAAAGGGUAAAAGUAAAAAAAUUAUGUCUUGCUUUCCAACAAAAUUUAUCACUGAGAAGAGGUGAAAUGUAAAAGCAAAAGGAAAUGGGAAAGAAAAUUGCUCUUGUAUUUUUCCAAAUCCAUUCAUUUAGAGUUCUGACAAACUUGAACUGAGUGACUGGAAGCCUGGGUUAUUAAAUUAGAAGUUCUUCAAAAACAAUGUCAUUAAGACUUUCUAUUGCAUCAGGUGGUUACAGUAUUCAAUUUUUCAUAUAUCUAAUAUUGUAUUAACUAUUUUAUGACAGUGAUAUGUGUAUAUAUAUAAAGCUUCAUAUAUGAGACUUUAUAAAGCACAUUAAUAUAAACUAGCUUAUUUCAUAUUUAAUCUUCACACCAAUCCUGUCAGGCAGGGUAAAUGUUUUUAUGCAUAUACUGAAGUUGACUCAGAAAGAUUAGGUGAUUUAAGCGAGGUAAUUAGCUGGUAAGCUGCAGAGCAGUGACUAGAACCCAAAACUUUUGACAACUUCAAUGUUCAUUUUUCUAUAUGACAUUAACAUUUCUUUUUAUACAUCUAAGAUUUCUUCUGUGGUAUUUCAAUUUCAGUUAUAGAUACAACAUUUACAUUUUAGAAAUAAAUUUUAAAGGUCCACAAUUAGUGUACCAGUGCUAUGAUUUGAAUAUUUGUGUCCCCUCCAAAAUUCAUGUUGAAACUCAAUCCCCAAUGCAAGAGUACUAAGAGAGAGAUGAUUAAGUCAUGAGGGCUCUGACCUCAUAAAUGGGAUUAGCACCCUUAUAAAAGGGCUCAAAGGUUGAAGGGAGCUCUCUCUUGCCUUUCUGCUCUUUUGCCAUGUGAGGAAAAAACAUUUGUUCCCUUUUUGCCCUUCUACCAUGUAAGGACACCUAGAUGGCACCAUCUAUGGAAAAUGGGGCUUUACCAGUCAUCAGACUUGCUGGUGCCUUGAUCUGUGACUUCUGAGCCUCCAGAACUAAGAGAAAUAAAUGUCUAUUGUUUAUAAAUUACUAAGUCUCAGGUAUUUAGUUACAGCAGGAGAAAUGGACCAGGACACUCCCCUCUCCCAAUACCAUAAAACUCAUACAGCCUUUCUUUGCCCAGAAGUAUUUACAUACUUUCAGUUUCCCCCUUUUUUUCAGCUUUUGCUUUCCUUCUAUGCAUUCAUUUAUGAGCAUCUUUCCUAAAGUUAACAAACCAUAUAAAACUGGAACUAGCUAGGCCCCUUUUGCCUAAAAGUCUCUCAGACUCUACUUAGAAUUUUCAUAAUAGUCAUUCUUCUCAGCUUAAGGUCAGUUAUGAUACUAAUAAGUUAUCCCCCCAAAAAAGUAACUUAAACAAUUUUCACCCACUAAUAUUUUAGCAAGAAUUAGCAUAUUACAUCAUCAACAUAGGUUACUUAGCAAGAGCCUAGGAAAAUAGGACAGAGGACUUGGCAGUUUUGUUGGACAAAGUAUAACAUGGUCAUUAAAAAUAAGGACUCUGGAAAGAAAUGAGACACUGAAGAAAAUAUACUAUAUGAUUCUACUUCUAGAAAGUUCAAAAAUAAAGUUAAUUCAUGGUGAUAUAUAACAGAAUGUUGUUUAUCUUUGGAGGAUUAUCUACUGUUAAGGGGGGUGAUUAAGGAGUCUUUCCAUCAGGGAAUGUUCUGGGUGAUGAUAAUUACACAGGUAUAGAACAUAUCAGAGUUCAUCAUACUAAAUAUUUAGGAGUUGUGCAUCUUAAAUCAUGUAAGUUAUACCUUGGUUUUACAUCGAAUUUUUUUAAAAGUAGAAGCUUUGAAGUCAGACAGAUCCAACCAACCCAGGGUCUGCCAUUUAUUAGUAUUAUGAUCCCACAUAUGUCACUUAACCUCUCUAAGCCAUAGAAAUAUCCUCUGGAAUAUGAGGAUGAUAAUAGUAUCUACCUCAUAUGGUUGUUGUUUGAAUUAAAAGAGCUGGCACACUUAGUGCUCAAUACAUUUAGCAAUCUGUACUACUAUCAUUAUAAAGGAAAAGAGGAAAAGUAGGAGACAAAAAAGAAAAGCUAAAUUUCACAUAUGAGACUGGAUUCCAUGGGAUAUCACAAAAAAGGACACCUUGGAAGCUUGUGGGAAGAAUGAAAGCACACUGCAUAAGGUUGAGAAUAGAGUCAGUAUAACCUGAUGGUUUAAAUUACAGGCUCCUGAAGCUAGGUUACCUGAGCUUGAAUCUAGGCUCUGCUACUUACUAGGUCUAAGUUCCUUAGCCUCUAUAUAGUAAGUCUGAAUAUUAAUGCCUACUUCAUAUAGUUUUUGCAAAGAAGGACUUUGGAGUGCAAAGAAAAAUAAUGACUUUAUUUUAGAAUUAUUUAAAAUACCAGUAGAACAUUUACCACUGAGCUGGAA